rnacentral:tRNA from 1 species
ACGUCUGUAGCUUAAUCGGAAGAGCAUUCGGUUUCUACCCGAACGGUUGUGGGUUCGACUCCUGCCAGGCGUGCCA